GACGAACGCUGGCGGCGUGCCUAAUACAUGCAAGUCGAGCGAAGCAGCGGAUGGGUGAGUAACGCGUGUGUAACCUGCCCUUACGUCUGGGAUCCCAUUUUGAAACAGAUGCUAAUACCGGCUACUAAAGGAUGUACCUGCGAUGCAUUAGCUAGUUGGUAAGGUAACGGCUUACCAAGGCGAUGAUGCAGAGCCGAGUUGGAAGAGUGAUCGGCAAAAUGGGGAUGGAGAAACGGCCAGAACUCCUACGGGGGGCAGCAGUAGGGAAUCUUCGAAAAUGGACGAAAGUCGGAUGGGGAAAGGCCGGUGGAGUGAAGAGGGUUUUCGGAUCGAAAGGUCCGGUUGUUGGGGAAGCGGUAAUCAAACAGAAAGUCACGGCUAACUACGUGCCAGCAGCCGCGGUAAUAC
rnacentral:rRNA from 1 species